GAUGAACGCUAGCGGCAGGCUUAACACAUGCAAGUCGAGGGGCAUCGAGAGUAGCAAUACUUGUCGGCGACCGGCGCAAGGGUGCGUAACACGUGAGCAACAUACCCGUUUCAGGAGGAUAACCGGAGGAAACUCUGCCUAAUACUCCAUGACAUCAUCAAACGGCAUCGUUUGAUGAUUAAAGAUUUAUCGGAAACGGCUUGGCUCGCGGGACAUUAGCCCGUUGGUGAGGUAACGGCUCACCAAGGCCACGAUGUCUAGGGGUUCUGAGAGGAAGGUCCCCCACACUGGAACUGAGACACGGUCCAGACUCCUACGGGAGGCAGCAGUGAGGAAUAUUGGACAAUGGUCGGAAGACUGAUCCAGCCAUGCCGCGUGAAGGUUACUGUCCUAUGGAUAUUAAACUUCUUUUGUAUGAGAGCAAUAAGGUGCACGCGUGCACCGAUGAGAGUAUCAUACGAAUAAGCAUCGGCUAACU
rnacentral:rRNA from 1 species